UGGGCCUACGGGAGGCAGCAGUGGGGAAUAUUGCACAAUGGGGGAAACCCUGAUGCAGCGACGCCGCGUGAGUGAGGAAGUAUUUCGGUAUGUAAAGCCCUAUCAGCAGGGAAGAACAAUGACGGUACCUGACUAAGAAGCACCGGCUAACUACGUGCCAGCAGCCGCGGUAAUACGUAUGGUGCAAGCGUUAUCCGGAUUUACUGGGUGUAAAGGGAGCGCAGGCGGCGCGUUAAGCCUGGUGUGAAAGCCCGCGGCCCAACCGCGGGAC
rnacentral:rRNA from 1 species